rnacentral:miRNA from 1 species
ACUGGGGAGUAUCGAGACUGGUCUGAAUGCUCCCCAGUCUGAGGUAUCUCCUGUUAUAAUUUUUAAAAUGAGAUAAUUCAGACUGGAGAGUAUUGAGACUGGUCUGAAUGCUCCCCAGUCUGGGGUAUCUCCUGUUAUAAUUUUAUAAAUGAGAUAACUCUGCCCCUGAGGAGCAUUCAGACCAGUCUCGAUACUCCCCAGU